rnacentral:lncRNA from 1 species
CUGCUCCAGGUUGUGGCGGCCCAGGAGCAUCCGCCUCUUGAAGCGGCGACACUCCAGCUCCAGGUACUGCCGCUGACGCCUCAGCAAGUUGGCCUCUUCCUCUGCCUGGAAGUGCUGGAUGUUCUCCUUCUGCUUGGAGAGCCACUCCUGCUUCUCCUUCUUUGGAGUGCUCUGGUUUUCAUUCAGCUCCUCUUUCAGCUGCUCCUUACGGAGUUUGUAUUCUCUCUUCUGAGACUCCAGGAAACUGUUCAGUUCUUUUUUCUGUUGGGCCUGAAUAUGCUGUUGAAACUUCUUUUCUUCGUUGGCCAUCACUUUAGCCUCUUUUUCCAUGGCUGCUUGGUGCUUUUUUAUUAGCUUUUCCAUUUCUGCAGCAAAAUUGUUACGCUGAGUUUCAAGAUCUUUGUCCAACCUGAGGCGAUGCUCAUCCAUCUCUGCCUUCAGUUUAUUCUCUAAUGCCAUCAGCUGCUUCUGGUGUUGCCGUCUCAUACGUUUAUAGCCAGACAUCUGCUCUCGGAGUUCAGAGUCUUGUUCAUGCUCCUGCAUUUGCCUUGUCACCAGCGAUGCUGUGCGUAUAGUAGCAAAGUGCUCUCGAUUGCGAUAAUGAGACUUGUGGCGGGAUACUUGGGGAGGAGACUGGGGUUCUGAUGCCCUCGUUCGAGGAUCCGAUUCCUCUCUGUAGUUUUCUUCCUCCGGCUUUAAGUGAAUGACAGAACUAUUUGACAUCACCGUGUGGUCCCCUUCCAUCAUAUCCAGCUCGCUCUUAUCAUCCGAGGCAUCUGGAAGACUGUUAACACUACUGCUUUGGCUACUGGCACUGAUAGACAUACUAGGAAUGGACUGAUUACUUCCGACACUGUUCACUGUUCCUGUCCUGCCAACACCAUGAUCUUGUUCCUCUUCCUCCUCCUGUGUUUCAACUGCAGGGCCAUUAUGUGCCUCCUGGAAGAGGAGCUUCUUCAUUUUACGGUACUGCAGGUUGUCCAGUUCUCUCACUGCAUCCUUUGUUCUCUGAAUCAAGUCUAUUAACACUGUUUCAGGCCGCUCCCGAA